rfam:Picea glauca, whole genome shotgun sequence.
GUACAUGCCUACAACAUAAUGUUAAUGCACUGGAUCCCAUUAGAACUCUACAAUUAAGCAUGCUCGGGCUAGAGUAGUAUAAGGAUGGGUGAACGCCCGAGAAGUCCUAGUGUUUUACACG